rnacentral:rRNA from 1 species
GGGAGUAAUGUCUGGGAAACUGCCUGAUGGAGGGGGAUAACUACUGGAAACGGUAGCUAAUACCGCAUAACGUCGCAAGACCAAAGAGGGGGACCUUCGGGCCUCAUGCCAUCAGAUGUGCCCAGAUGGGAUUAGCUAGUAGGUGGGGUAACGGCUCACCUAGGCGACGAUCCCUAGCUGGUCUGAGAGGAUGACCAGCCACACUGGAACUGAGACACGGUCCAG